UACGUAGGGGCAAGCGUUGUCCGGAAUGACUGGGCGUAAAGGGCGUGUAGGCGGCUUAUUAAGUCUGGAGUGAAAGUCCUGCUUUCAAGGUGGGAAUUGCUUUGGAAACUGAAAAGCUUGAGUGCGGAAGAGGUAAGUGGAAUUCCCAGUGUAGCGGUGAAAUGCGUAGAGAUUGGGAGGAACACCAGUGGCGAAGGCGACUUACUGGGCCGUAACUGACGCUGAGGCGCGAAAGCGUGGGGAGCGAACAGGAUUAGAUACCCGGGUAGUUCCUGAGCGGGCU
rnacentral:rRNA from 1 species